AAAGAAUAAAUAAAAAUAAAAUAAAUAGCUAAAUAAACAUCAGUACUGUUUAGUAUCAGACAAAUGCUGACCAUUAAAAUAAAGAAUAAAUAAAAAUUAAAUAAAUAGCUAAAUAAACAUCAGUACUGAUUAGUAUCACUGAAAUGCUGACCAUUAAAAUAAAGAAUAAAUAAAAAUUAAAUAAGUAGCUAAAUAAACAUAAAUAUUACUGUUUAGUAUCAGUCAAAUGCUGACCAUUAAAAUAAAGAAUAAAUAAAAAUAAAAUAAAUAGCUAAAUAAACAUCAGUACUGUUUAGUAUCAGUCAAAUGCUGACCAUUAAAAUAAAGAAUAAUUAAAAAUAAAAUAAAUAGCUAAAUAAACAUUAGUACUUUUUAGUAUCAGUCAAAUGCUGACCAUUAAAAUAAAGAAUAAAUAAAUAUAAAAUAAAUAGCUAAAUAAACAUCAGUAUUACUGUUUAGUGUCAGUCAAAUGCUGACCAUUAAAAUAAAGAAUAAAUAAAAAUGAAAUAAAUAGCUAAAUAAACAUCAGUACUGAUUAGUAUCACUGAAAUGCUGACCAUUAAAAUAAAGAAUAAAUAAAAAUUAAAUAAGUAGCUAAAUAAACAUAAAUAUUACUGUUUAGUAUCAGUCAAAUGCUGACCAUUAAAAUAAAGAAUAAAUAAAAAUAAAAUAAAUAGCUAAAUAAACAUCAGUACUGUUUAGUAUCAGUCAAAUGCUGACCAUUAAAAUAAAGAAUAAUUAAAAAUAAAAUAAAUAGCUAAAUAAACAUUAGUACUUUUUAGUAUCAGUCAAAUGCUGACCAUUAAAAUAAAGAAUAAAUAAAAAUUAAAUAAAUAGCUAAAUAAACAUCAGUACUGUUUAGUAUCACUCAAAUGCUGAC